CAGCCGUGGGAUAAGCACGCAUCACCCAGCAUUCUCAGACAAGUGUCUUCUACUGUGACUGAAACGGGCUCCCCAGUCUUAAGAAAGUGAAGAUGAUGGCACGGCUCUGAGGCUCACACCUGCAAGAAGGUCUGCAGUCCAGAUGUGGCGGGUAUGAGUCAUUCAGAGCCUUGGCAUUGGCUACACUGCUGGACCCAAGAUUCAAAAUUGUGGCUUUUGGAAAUCCUGCCAAAGGCCAGGAGGCUGAAAAGCACCUCACACUGGAGUGUGCUUCGUUGAUGCGUUCAAACCCACCAACUCAUAGCCACAAUGGUCAGCAUCAGGUCUAUCAUCAUCAUCAAGAACACCAGCAGAAAGCCAGGUGAAUCCCACACUACACACAAUGCUACAGCUGAUGCCACAGUGGAAGUAAAAAAGUACCUCACAGAUGCAUUUCUGCCCAGAAUGGAAGAUCCCCUAAAGUGCUGGAAGGAGAGAGCAGUCAUUUUUCCUAAUCUGUACAUUCUAGCUAAAAAGUAUCUGUGCAUGCCAGCGAUAAGUGUCCCUUGUGAGAGGAUUUUUUCAAAGGCUGGAGAAAUUCUAUGUAAAAAAAGAAGUAUGCUAAGUCCAUCAACAGCAGAACAAUUAAUAUUUUUAAAUAAAAAUCUUUAUAUGUAAAAAAGUGGCUUGAUGUACUUUGUCUAUUUUUCAUUACCAAAAUAACACUUAUUUAUUCACAAAGAGUUCAUUCAGAUGUCAGACCGAUGUUUCAACACAUAACAAGAACAGAACAAUAAAAACACACAUUUUAAUUGUUUAUUAUAAUUUUGUAAAGAUGACUGCUUCAACCAGGAUUCGAACCCAAAGAGACAGCAUUCCA